GGGCAUUUAGUUCAAUGGUAGAACGCUUGUUUAACAAGCAAGAGGCCAGUGGUUCGAUUCCACUAGUGCCCACCA
rnacentral:tRNA from 1 species